GCCGGACAUGCGGUCGCGGCCGGCGCACACGCGCCGGGUGAGGAAAGUCCGGGCUUCACAGGGCAGGAUGCCGGAUAACGUCCGGCAGGGGUAACCCUCGGGAAAGCGCAACAGAAAAGAACCGCCGCCUCCGGGCGGUAAGGGUGAAAAGGCAGUGUAAGAGACUACCGCCGACCUGGUAACAGGGAGGGCCGUGCAAGCCCCAUCCGAAGCAAGACAAACGCGGACCAUACGGCUGCCCGCCGUGUCCCAGGUAGUCGCUGGAGCCGUCCGGCAACGGACGGCCUAGAUAGAUGACCGCACAACGACAGAACCCGGCUUAUCGUCCGGCCGG
rnacentral:RNase_P_RNA from 1 species